AUUCGGGUCCACGUCAGCCUUGAUAGGUGCUGUGGAUCCGAAAUUGCAGAGGAAAUUAGGGCUUUUUAUGAUCCAGGUGGGAAAGGGGAACUCGUGGCACUCGAAGGAGACGAAUCCGAGCAUUUCUGCGUUGAGAUUGAUAUCAUCAUUUACAUCUAAUGGCGCUCCCUCCUGGCCCUUACUCCGGCACCAGCACUCUCGCACUGGUAGCUCGUGCAUCAACAUUCACCUUUGGUUUGGUUUACGGAAGCAUUAAGCUCAAGGUUCUGAAGGCAAAAGCCAAGUCUCAUGCGAAAGCUGCAGCCAAAGCCCAUCAUUGAUGAACGCAUUUACUAAUGUAGCUUGUAGCAAUGGAAGAGAUGGAAAUUACAGCAUAGGCAGAGACUCUGAUCGUUGAUUGGAGAAAUGUGAUUUUUGGCUUGAUAUAUAUUAGAUUCUGGUUUUUACUGCUGGAAGAAAAUAAUAUUUUUUUGUUUAAACGUUGUUGGUAUUGCAAAUGCUGCAUGGUGUAUGUUUAGUUUUUCAGUUCGAAUGGCAAAUCUGCCAAUGAGAUGGAUGUUCUUGAAAUAAAAGUCAUACAUCAUCCUGAUAUAUAGACUCGUUUGAGAUUUGGC